rnacentral:rRNA from 1 species
GACAGAGGAUGCAAGCGUUAUCCGGAAUGAUUGGGCGUAAAGCGUCUGUAGGUGGCUUUUUAAGUCCGCCGUCAAAUCCCAGGGCUCAACCCUGGACAGGCGGUGGAAACUACCAAGCUGGAGUACGGUAGGGGCAGAGGGAAUUUCCGGUGGAGCGGUGAAAUGCGUAGAUAUUGGAAAGACCACCGAUGGCGAAGGCACUCUACUGGGCCAUGACUGACACUGAGAGACGAAAGCUAGGGGAGCAAAUGGG